rnacentral:rRNA from 1 species
UACGGGGGGAGCAAGCGUUGUCCGGAUUUACUGGGCGUAAAGGGCGCGUAGGCGGUCGUGACAAGUCACUUGUGAAAUCUCCGGGCUUAACUCGGAACGGUCAGGUGAUACUGUCGGACUAGAGUACAGAAGGGGCGAACUGGAAUUCUCGGUGUAGCGGUGAAAUGCGUAGAUAUCGAGAGGAACACCUGCGGCGAAGGCGGGUUGCUGGGCUGAUACUGACGCUGAGGCGCGAAAACCAGGGGAGCGAACGGG